CAGCAGCCGCGGUAAUACGUAGGUCCCGAGCGUUGUCCGGAUUUAUUGGGCGUAAAGGGAGCGCAGGCGGUUUAGUAAGUCUGGAGUUAAAGGCAUUGGCUCAACCAAUGUAUGCUUUGGAAACUGUUUGACUUGAGUGCAGAAGGGGAGAGUGGAAUUCCAUGUGUAGCGGAGAAAUGCGUAGAUAUAUGGAGGAACACCGGUGGCGAAAGCGGCUCUCUGGUCUGUCACUGACGCUGAGGCUCGAAAGCGUGGGUAGCGAACAGGAUUAGAUACCCUAGUAGUCCCUGUCUCUUAUACA
rnacentral:rRNA from 1 species